AUGUUGAUAGAAUGAUAUUUGCUUUUAUUCUGUUUUCUUUUUUACACACACACACCCUUCUCUCCCUGAAAACGAGCACAUUUAUGUCAGGCAUUUUCCUCCCUAGCUGUGGAAGGGGCAAUCCAACCACACAGCCAUACAACGUCAGCAGAUCUACUCCUCCUCAGGGGCCAUCUUCAGCACCAGCCCACACCUGUAAUGGGAGCAGGCCCGAAACCACCAAGGCUGCUCUGAGAGUAAUGCCCCAUUUCAUAACGCCAGCCCACGCCACCGGGGGCAGAUGUUGGUAUGGCCGUAGAGGCCGAUUCUUCCCACCAAUACUCCCUCACAUUUUGUUGUCCCGUGGCAGACAGCAGCAGAGGGGCACUGACAAAAUGGCAUCUGACAGGGAAGUGCGUGUGGAGCAAAGGUGUGAUGCUGUGGAAAGAACGGCACCCACUGAGGUUCACUGACACUCACUGAAGGCUUAUGGAGAGCACCCAGCGGAUGUGAGCGCAGCGAGGCGGCGUGUGCUGCGUUUCAGUGGCAGCGGGUCAGCUCCGCUGCUGAGAUGGUUAUGAGCAUGCCAUGCAGCUCCUGUUCAUGGCUGGCAAAAAUGCACAGCUCCUGGGGGUGACUGUUCAAAAAAACAGCCUUUUGUAGCUGAGGAUUUGCUCUAUCAGAUAGCACUGUUGCGCUCUUUGUGUCUGUUGUAGUUUCCAUGGAAGUAAGCAGGAGCUGUAAGUUCCAGAGCAACCUGCCGUCACCAUUCCCCCCAGGCUGCCCGCGCCUGCCAGCCGCCGGGCCGGCCGCUAUGCCACUGUACGAGCAGACCGCACCGCGCUGGGAGCGGGCAGUACCCCCACCCCCACCCUGCGUACGCUGCCGCACAUCCCAUCAUCUUCCACGCAACGCGUCACGCGCUGACGCUCAGCACAACGCGGGAUUUCUUGGACCGAGAGCACCGCGGCUGCAGGUGCGAUGAGCGCCGGCACAGCACGGGGCUGCCGGCCGUCCACGGCGGCUAUGUCACAGCCCCGGGGCAGCAGCGCGCAGGGCCGUCCCC
ensembl:lncRNA